CUCAAAAAUCUCUUCAAAAUCCCCUAAAGAUCUUCGCUCAAUUGGUGUUGAACAAUUUCACACUCUCACGCCAUGAGCGCCAGGACUCUCUUAUACUCCUCGAAUUUCCGGGCUCCACCCGAUAUUUCGGCCCGAAGUGGAGCUUUCCGGUCUGAACUUAAGCCGGGAGGCCCGCUGCAGCUUCAACUUCGUGUCCGGCUUCUCUCCGAAGGAAGGGGUUGUUCGUUUCGGGUUUCUGUUCGGGAUGUGAAAUCCGAGUCGUUAAAUAUAUCGGAUUCGUUGCCAGGGUCGAUGAAGUUUGAUGAAGCAUUGAGCGAUGUCGUUGUAAGAAGCGAGGAUUUGGAGAGUUCUGUUCCAUGGUGGGAACAGUUCCCGAAACGUUGGGUUAUCGUGCUUUUGUGUUUUUCGGCCUUUUUGCUUUGCAAUAUGGAUAGAGUUAAUAUGAGUAUCGCUAUACUUCCGAUGUCAGCUGAGUACAACUGGAACCCAGCGACAGUUGGUUUGAUACAGUCUUCAUUCUUCUGGGGUUACCUUCUUACGCAGAUUGCUGGUGGCAUAUGGGCGGACACUGUAGGUGGGAAGCUGGUUCUUGGAUUUGGUGUAGUUUGGUGGUCCAUUGCUACAGCUCUUACUCCCGUUGCGGCUAAAUUAGGCCUGCCAUUCCUACUUGUUGUUCGUGCUUUCAUGGGGAUCGGUGAGGGUGUUGCUAUGCCUGCCAUGAAUAAUAUUCUGUCCAGAUGGGUUCCUGUGGCAGAGAGAAGUAGAUCAUUAGCUCUGGUAUACAGUGGGAUGUACCUUGGAUCUGUUACUGGCUUGGCCUUUUCACCUUUUCUAAUACAUCAAUUUGGAUGGCCUUCAGUAUUUUACUCCUUUGGUUCUUUGGGGACAGUUUGGUUUACUGUGUGGCUAAGUAAGGCAUACAGUUCACCUCUUGAUGAUCCUCAGCUGCGUCUAGAAGAAAAAAAGCUAAUUAUGAAGAACGAAGUUUCCAAGGAACCAGUUAAAACAAUACCUUGGGGGUUAAUCUUGUCAAAACCUCCUGUAUGGGCUCUUAUAGUGUCUCACUUUUGUCACAACUGGGGAACAUUUAUUCUACUGACAUGGAUGCCAACAUACUACAACCAAGUCUUGAAGUUCAAUCUUACAGAAUCUGGGCUUUUUUGUGUUUUGCCAUGGCUUACAAUGGCAUUUUCUGCAAAUCUUGGUGGGUGGAUUGCAGAUACGCUUGUCAGCAAGGGUUUAUCUGUGACCACAGUUCGCAAGAUAAUGCAAACAAUUGGAUUUCUUGGUCCUGCUUUCUUCUUAACUCAGUUGAGCCAUGUUGAUUCUCCUGCAAUGGCUGUUUUGUGCAUGGCAUGCAGUCAGGGAAGUGAUGCAUUCUCUCAGUCUGGUCUAUAUUCAAACCAUCAGGAUAUUGCCCCUCGAUAUUCUGGGGUGUUGCUUGGCCUAUCUAAUACAGCAGGAGUUCUGGCAGGGGUUUUUGGAACUGCAGCGACUGGCUACAUCUUGCAACACGGUUAGAAUUCAUCCUUCCCCCUUAAGCUUCCAGUAACUUGUAUGUCAACAAGCUUAAAAGAGAAACAGAGCAAAGAAAUGAAAAGAUGAGAAGAACCAAGAAAUCUAUAGAUAAGUAUAUGGUUCUUGGGAUGAUGUUUUUAAGGUUUCAGUUGGACUCUACCUAGUUGGAACUGUUGUGUGGAACCUUUUCUCAACGGGUGAGAAAAUAUUGGAAUAAAUUCUAAAGAAAUUUUUUUAUCCUCAACAAGUGACAGCUUAAAGGAGUUCACAAAAGCUUGAGCUCUUAAAGCAAAAGAUCAAUGGAUUCUAUAUGUAACCGAAGAUUUAAACAAAAUCAUAGUCUGUUGAGAAACGCAAGAAUUCUCUAUCAAGAAUCUUGGUCUUGAAGACGGACAAAAUUCUCAACAGGCUAAGCACAGAGCUCACAAGUAGAGAAGUGAAAUUAAGUUGCCUGCCGUUUGACUGAUAGCAAUGCUGCAUUUGCAUAGUAGCCUCAACACAGUUGUAGAUGUUGUACUCAUUCAAUCUCAACACAUAAUUUUUUUUGUACGGUGUAGCAAACAUUGAACGAGAAAUCUUGUUCCAAUCAACCCUAAUUAGAACAA